UACGUAGGGGGCUAGCGUUGUCCGGAUUUAUUGGGCGUAAAGAGCGUGUAGGCGGCCAUGUAGGUCCGGUGUGAAAACUCGAGGCUUAACCUCGAGAUGUCAUCGGAAACCAUUUGGCUAGAGUCCGGAAGAGGAGAGUGGAAUUCCUGGUGUAGCGGUGAAAUGCGCAGAUAUCAGGAAGAACACCCGUGGCUAAGGCGGCUCUCUAGUACGGUACUGACGCUGAGACGCGAAAAGCGUGGGGAGCAAACAGG
rnacentral:rRNA from 1 species